rnacentral:rRNA from 1 species
ACUCCUACGGGAGGCAGCAGUGGGGAAUAUUGCACAAUGGGCGAAAGCCUGAUGCAGCGACGCCGCGUGAGGGAUGACGGCCUUCGGGUUGUAAACCUCUUUCAGCAGGGAAGAAGCGAGAGUGACGGUACCUGCAGAAGAAGCGCCGGCUAACUACGUGCCAGCAGCCGCGGUAAUACGUAGGGCGCAAGCGUUGUCCGGAAUUAUUGGGCGUAAAGAGCUCGUAGGCGGCUUGUCGCGUCGGAUGUGAAAGCCCGGGGCUUAACCCCGGGUCUGCAUUCGAUACGGGCAGGCUAGAGUUCGGUAGGGGAGAUCGGAAUUCCUGGUGUAGCGGUGAAAUGCGCAGAUAUCAGGAGGAACACCGGUGGCGAAGGCGGAUCUCUGGGCCGAUACUGACGCUGAGGAGCGAAAGCGUGGGGAGCGAACACGAUKAGANACMMUGGUAGUCCACGCCRCAAACGUNGRGGAACNAGGWGUGGGCGC